rnacentral:rRNA from 1 species
AUUGAACGCUGGCGGCAUGCCUUACACAUGCAAGUCGAACGGUAACAGGUCUUCGGAUACUGACGAGUGGCGAACGGGUGAGUAAUACAUCGGAACGUGCCUAGUAGUGGGGGAUAACUACUCGAAAGAGUGGCUAAUACCGCAUGAGAUCUACGGAUGAGAGCAGGGGAUCGCAAGACCUUGUGCUACUAGAGCGGCCGAUGGCAGAUUAGGUAGUUGGUGGGAUAAAAGCUUACCAAGCCGACGAUCUGUAGCUGGUCUGAGAGGACGAUCAGCCACACUGGGACUGAGACACGGCCCAGACUCCUACGGGAGGCAGCAGUGGGGAAUUUUGGACAAUGGGCGCAAGCCUGAUCCAGCAAUGCCGCGUGCAGGAUGAAGGCCUUCGGGUUGUAAACUGCUUUUGUACGGAACGAAAAGCCCUGGGUUAAUACCCUGGGGUCAUGACGGUACCGUAAGAAUAAGCACCGGCUAACUACGUGCCAGCCGCCGCAGUAAA